AUUGAACGCUGGCGGCAUGCCUUACACAUGCAAGUCGAACGGUAACGGGCCUUCGGGUGCCGACGAGUGGCGAACGGGUGCGUAAUACAUCGGAACGUGCCCGAUCGUGGGGGAUAACGAGGCGAAAGCUUUGCUAAUACCGCAUACGAUCUACGGAUGAAAGCUGGGGACCGCAAGGCCUUGCGCGGACGGAGCGGCCGAUGGCAGAUUAGGUAGUUGGUGGGAUAAAAGCUUACCAAGCCGACGAUCUGUAGCUGGUCUGAGAGGAUGAUCAGCCACACUGGGACUGAGACACGGCCCAGACUCCUACGGGAGGCAGCAGUGGGGAAUUUUGGACAAUGGGCGCAAGCCUGAUCCAGCCAUGCCGCGUGCAGGAUGAAGGCCUUCGGGUUGUAAACUGCUUUUGUACGGAACGAAAAGCCUUCUUUUAAUACAGGAGGGUCAUGACGGUACCGUAAGAAUAAGCACCGGCUAACUACGUG
rnacentral:rRNA from 1 species